GUGCUCACUUUUGCAGCACAUAUAUUAAAACUAGAAUGAUACAGAGAUAAUUAGCAUGGCCCCUACACAAGAAUGACACACAUAUUCAUGAAUAGGUUCCAUAGUUUU
ensembl:snRNA U6 U6 spliceosomal RNA